rnacentral:rRNA from 1 species
AGUGAACGCUGGCGGCGUGCUUAACACAUGCGAGUCGAACGAGAACGGAUUAUAGCUUGCUAUAAUUGUCAGCUAAGUGGCGCACGGGUGAGUAAUAUAUAGAUAACCUGCCCUCUAGAAAGGAAUAACAGUUGGAAACGACUGCUAAUGCCCUAUAUGCCUUUAAUACAUAAGUAUGCAAGGGAAACGCUUUAGUGCUAGAGGAUGGGUCUGUAUGGUAUCAGCUUGUUGGUGAGGUAAUGGCUCACCAAGGCUAUGACGCCUAACUGGUUUGAGAGGAUGAUCAGUCACACUGGAACUGAGACACGGUCCAGACUCCUACGGGAGGCAGCAGUGGGGAAUAUUGCACAAUGGACGAAAGUCUGAUGCAGCAACGCCGCGUGGAGGAUGACACAUUUCGGUGCGUAACUCCUUUUAUAUAGGAAGAUAAUGACGGUACUAUAUGAAUAAGCACCGGCUAACUCCGUGCCAGCAGCCGCCGUAACAC